AUUGAACGCUGGCGGCAUGCUUUACACAUGCAAGUCGAACGGUAACAGGCCGCAAGGUGCUGACGAGUGGCGAACGGGUGAGUAAUGCAUCGGAACGUGCCCAGUCGUGGGGGAUAACUACUCGAAAGAGUAGCUAAUACCGCAUACGAUCUAUGGAUGAAAGCGGGGGACCGUAAGGCCUCGCGCGAUUGGAGCGGCCGAUGUCAGAUUAGGUAGUUGGUGGGGUAAAGGCUCACCAAGCCAACGAUCUGUAGCUGGUCUGAGAGGACGACCAGCCACACUGGGACUGAGACACGGCCCAGACUCCUACGGGAGGCAGCAGUGGGGAAUUUUGGACAAUGGGCGCAAGCCUGAUCCAGCAAUGCCGCGUGCAGGAAGAAGGCCUUCGGAUUGUAAACUGCUUUUGUACGGAACGAAACGGCUCUGGUUAAUACCCGGGGCUAAUGACGGUACCGUAAGAAUAAGCACCGGCUAACUACGUG
rnacentral:rRNA from 1 species